UACGUAGGGGGCAAGCGUUGUCCGGAUUUAUUGGGCGUAAAGAGCGUGUAGGCGGCCAAGCAGGUCAGCUGUGAAAACUCGAGGCUCAACCUCGAGACGUCGGUUGAAACCGCUUGGCUAGAGUCCGGAAGAGGAGAGUGGAAUUCCCGGUGUAGCGGUGAAAUGCGCAGAUAUCAGGAAGAACACCCGUGGCUAAGGCGGCUCUCUAGUACGGUACUGACGCUGAGACGCGAAAGCGUGGGGAGCGAACAGG
rnacentral:rRNA from 1 species